CUGCUUGCAACAUGCAUCCCUUUGUUGCCUUCUUCGGCUGCUCUUUUCCUUCCCGCCUCUUUGAUUUAAGCACACUGGAACACAGCCUUCAGCCCAGAGCCGUGUGUUGCACUAGAGCCCUGAAACAUCUUUCCACCACAAACCACACUCUGUCCAGAUAAUCCAGUAAGUAAAAGUUUAUUCAGAAAAGAGUAUAUAAAAAUAAGCAAAUCUAGAUUCUAAAAUCCUUUCAAAUACAGUCUCAAGAGUUUACUCACAGAUUUAUCCAUAAACAUGAUAGCAUGAAUCAAAGGCAGGCAACCUAUGCCACACAUGAACUAGAAACAGGAAAGUUGAAUACAUGAAUCCAAAAACAUAGAAUCAGGAACCAAGAGCUGUUCACCUGAAUACAACGUUGCUCUCACAAAGGAUUCUACCAGCAGAAAACUAUUUAACAGUCCUCAAUUCCUUCCAUGACAUCAUUCCUCACACACCUGCUUUUCCUCUCCUUAUCUCUAAGCUGUUGGGAAAAGAAAAUCUGUCUCUGUUGUAUGCUCUGCCUCUGAAGUUUCAAGUUUCUUAAUCUGGAAAAACAUUUGUCACCCACAUUUCUUUCAGCUGGCACUUCUGGAAGAUUCUCACUGGAACUGAUAUCGCUUUCUCCAGUUUGAUGGGAACUGCCAGGAAAUUCCAAAACAAUUCUCUUCAUAUCACUGAUAUCCUCUUCUGGGCACUCCGAAUCUAUCCCAGCAUCCCCUUCCUCAUCGUCUGAGCACUCAGAACACCCUGGGCGGUUCAAAGGUUUAUUAUUGUUCCAUAGUAAUUAUAAGAUACUCACUCAGGUGGUCGCAGUGGGAGAUCCAUGAUAAAAGAGUGACCACAUGGUCUCAGCUACUGUAUGUAAUAGACUGUUAUCUACAGUUACCCCCCAUUGAGAUGGUGCUAAAACACUAGAUGUGUUGUUUUGGCCUGGCCUCUCUUGACAUCCACUCAGGCAUCUUAACCAUUGAUGAAUUGCUAGCCAUAUGUUUUAAAGAUGAUUUUUCCUGAUGUAUAUAACUCCACCACUUUAUUCAUACUUCCAAGUACUAACUAGGCCUGUGUUGCAACACAGACUCCUUAAAAUGCCAGACCAGAUGUUAGUAAAAAUACAGUUUAUUAGUUCACAACCAAAAGGAGCCCAAAAACAAACUCAAAAGGCUCAGAACACUUAAUCUUCAGUGUGAAACACAGAAUUCCCAGCAAACAGCACAAAACCCCAGACCCUUGAAAAUAACCCAGAUUAAACCGGAGUAUAAUCCUGUUUAAAAACAAACUUUGUAAAACAACAAAGAAGACACUCCAGUUCCUUGCAGGACGUCAGCAGGCAGGAAUUAACGACCAGCAGGGGGCCGAAAACAUCUGUCGAAGUCACCCAAACACAAUGUCGAUGUCGGUGAGUCCAAUCCGGGUCAGAGAAGGAGAGGUCAGCAACACGAAAUCCAGUCCAGGUCAGAGAAGGAGAAGGCAGCAAUAUGAAAUCCAGUCCAGAUCAUACACAGAGCCAAAGCAUAGAAUGCAGCACGGCAAGUUCACAGAAGUCUUCCCAAAGUACGUCUUCCCAAACAGCUCACAUGGACACAUGAACACCCAACAACACUUUGCCGACUGCAAAGGUGAUUCAUUUCCAAAACCCACUUUUAUUCACAAAUCAUCCUCAGAACUAGAAUCAGCCAACACCCUGCUAGCAGCUGCAGCCUGUUGCCUCAAUUCCUCCUCAGAGCUAGAAUCAGACAAUGCCCCACCAGACCUCCUUUCAGCUGAAGCCCCUUGCCGAUCCCUCCACCCAGUCCAUCUUUUAUCCAAACCCAUAAUUCCCCAAGACCCAGCUGGAUCCCCACUGUGCCAAUCCUCAAACGUGUCGCCACUUGUGGGUUCUCUAAAGAUGUCCUGGAUCUCUUGCACCUUAGUCCAGUCCAUUAACUCAUCCUCUGAACUUGUCAUCCCAUCCUCCUGAUUCUCAACCCCAUCAUCCCCCUCAAAGCCCUCAAAUGAGUCAUCAUCAGUAGGCUCCAUAAGUAUUUUCUGGAUCCGCUUCCUUUGUUGCUCCUCAUCGGAGUCUUGCUCACGAGUAGUCUUUCUUCAUUUUCUAGUGCACCUAGUAGUAUCAUUACUCAAAGACUCCAUCACAACAGCCUGUUCCUGUCGAGAUAGGGCAGUUUCCAUACUUGGGAAAGUUCCAGGAUCCCAGGGUCUCAUUAUGAUCUGACAAUGAUGUGAUGUACUUUGACAAACAUAAAGUAUGGACAAUCUAUGCCUUAUGAAUGGAAAGCAGAAGCUAUCUCGAACACUACUUCUUUAGCCAUGAAGGACAUGUUUGCCACAAGUCUUCUUGAGUCAUCUGGAUGCUUCAGUGCAGAUAAACGACUCAUGUCAAAGAGCCGCUCAUUUUAUCAGUCUUGGAAAGAGUGUUUUGAUGACAUAGUCAUGAAUAAUAUCUGCUUAAAGCUAUAUUUGUUCCCUUGGUUUCAUUUUUCUGAGGUGAUUAGCUGUUUGAGGAACUGGGGGAAAAAGAAAUACAUCCAAAAAAGGCUAAAUGUUUUUUUCAUUUCUUUGUAACAAGUUUUCUUUCCUCUGUAUGUUCAGAGUGAGAUAAGGUUUUCUUUGCAUAAGAAAUAUACUUGGCCAUCUGUUUCUUGGAUUCUUCUGAAUUUAUCAUGUUUCACUGUUGUGAUCAAAGGAAAAGGAGGCAUGUGACACUGAAUGGAAAUCAGUAGUGUAGAUGUUUCAGGGCCCUGACAUAACUAUACAUUUAAAAUUUCAUCAUUAAAUUCACAUUUACAAACACACAUGCCUGGCACCCCUUGGGGAAAACAUCAAUUCUCUGCAUAUACUUUUGUCUAUAGAAUAAGGCAAAAUUUCUUCUACAAAAUCUGAUUUUUUUUAGAGCAUUGUAAAAUGAUAAUUGAUCUGCUGCAGGAGGAGGAAUUUUAUUAAUUAUUUACAUGGUAUGUAAUUGCUUCUCUGAAGAAUUUUUCUAUGGUCCAUAAAACCUGCCCCCCCCAUGUGAUCUUAAUCCUGUUUCUUAAAUAUGACCUCUCAUAGGUUUUUGCAGAUUAAUUCUGUGAGGAGACAGAUAUUAUCAACAUGUUAUCAAUCCACAGCAGGCCUGGUGCUUAGAAACAGGGCGAGUGAGUCAUCAGUGUGAAAACAGAGGAUCCAGGUCAGUCGUGUUGUAUUAUAGCAAUAUUCAGAUGGCACCUCUACACAGACAGAACUGUCUGCUCCACUUUGGCAUUUAUGCUGUGCUUUCACCAAUUUUUUUGUUCUGUUGAUUUAACCCCUUGGGGACUUUCUAAUUGCAUGAAAGAUAAUACAUUCUAUGCACAUUCCUCUGCGUGUGCCAUUCCUAUGGGUGAGAGAGCACUGGAGACUUCUAGCAUUAUAACAUUUGUUUUAUUUACAAAAAAUAUACAAGGAUGCUAUGUGUGAAUCAACACUCUAGAAUUAAUGCAGUUUAACCAUACAGCGAUACCUUGACUUAAGAGUGUAAUUUGUUCUGUGAUCAAGCUUUUAACUUAAAAUGCUCUUAUCGCAAAGCAAAUUUCCCAUUGAAAUGCAAUCAACACAUUCUGGUCCCUGACCCCCCCCCCCUAUUUUUUAAAACAUGUUUUUAAAUAAGAACAUGUACUUUAUAAAUUGCAAAUAAUACAUUCACAAUGAACAAUUUUAAAGAUCAGUUUUAAAAUGGUAAAAGCACAAAGUUGUAGCA